UCCCUGAUAGUAUAAUGGCGAGUACACCAGUCUGUCACAUUGGAGACCCGGGUUCAAUUCCCGGUCGGAGAG
rnacentral:tRNA from 1 species